rnacentral:rRNA from 1 species
GGGCCCGCACAAGCGGUGGAGUAUGUGGUUUAAUUCGAUGCAACGCGAAGAACCUUACCAGGGUUUGACAUCCUGCGAAUCUCUUGGAAACGAGAGAGUGCCUUCGGGAACGCAGUGACAGGUGGUGCAUGGCUGUCGUCAGCUCGUGUCGUGAGAUGUUGGGUUAAGUCCCGCAACGAGCGCAACCCACGUCUUUAGUUGCCAGCAUUUAGUUGGGCACUCUAGAGAGACUGCCGGUGUAAACCGAGAGGAAGGUGGGGAUGACGUCAAAUCAUCACGGCCCUUACGUUCUGGGCUACACACGUGCUACAAUGGUCGGUACAGAAAGCAGCCACUAUGCGAAUAGGAG